AGGGUUGUAGCUCAGUGGUAGAGUGCUUGCCUAGCAUGUGUGAGGCACUGAGUUCAAUUCUCAGUACCGCAU
rnacentral:tRNA from 1 species